GGGGGGGCGGGAGCGAGCGUGCGCGCGGCCAGACUGUCCGGUGGGCUGGUAGUGCCAGUAACCGCUAAGGCUGGGGCGGUUGAGACACCUGCGGCGACCCCCCGGCGGCGCUCAGAUGUGGCCUUUGGUGGCGGCGCUGUUGCUGGGCUCGGCGGGCUACGGUUCGAGUCAACUACUAUUUAAUAAAAUGAAAUAUGUAGAAUAUACUCGAUGUAAUAAAACUGUUGUUAUUCCAUGCUGUGCUAUCAAUAUGGAGGCAGAAAAGAUUAGUGAAUUAUUUAUAAAAUGGAGAUAUAAAGGAAAUGUGAUUUUAACCUUUGAUGGACUUCUAAACAUGACCACUAAGUUCAAUAACUUUACAACUGCAAAAAUUGAUGUCUCGAAAUUACUAAAAGGAGAUGCUUCUUUGGAGAUGGAUAUGAGUGAUGCUCUCUUAGGAAACUACACAUGUGAAAUUACAGAAUUAUCCAGAGAAGGUCAAACAACUGUAGAACUAAAACACCGUACUGAUUCAUGGUUUUCUUCAAAUGAAAUUAUGCUCAUUGCAGUUUUCCCAAUUUUGUCUGUAAUUUUGUUCUGGGGACAGUUAUGUGUUGUAAGACUGAAAUAUAAAUCCAGGCUUCCAACUAAUCAGUUCAUUCUUGUACUUAUUCCUGGAAUACUACUUACCAUAUUUGUCAUUGUUGGAUCCAGCAUUUUCAUCCCAGGUGGCUAUUCAAGAAAGAAAUCUUCUGGACUUUCUUUACUUGUAACUCCUUCAGGGAUGUUGAUAGUAGCUCAGUGCCGUUUGUUAAGAUCAGUUUUGGGAAUGACCUCCUUUACCAUUGCGAUCUUGAUCAUUCAGUUGCUGGGCUUUGUGCUUGCUGUGGUUGGGUUAGUUCUCUGCAUGUCUGUGUGUAUGCCAGUACAUGGCCCUCUUCUGAUUUCAGGUCUGGGUAUCAUAACUCUAUCAGAAUUACUUGGACUCAUUUAUAUUACAUUUUUUGAUUUCAUAGAUAAUCUUCGGCCAGAUGAAAAGCAAGAAGACAAGAGGUACAGGGGAGUUGCUCUUUAGAUAAUGUGAUAGAUGAGAAAAAUUAGUGUGUUUUGCUUAUAUAGACUGUUGAUGUAAAUCUGUAUAUGUAUAAUAGUAAGGCUGCAACUUUUUGAGUCAGGAAGUAAAAAUUGUUAAGUAUUUCCCAAAUGUAAUUUUACUCAUUGAAGAUGCCAGUUUCAUUAGAAAAGUGUAAUAAGUGUGUCUGAGUUUAAAUGCAAAACAAUCCUCAGCUAGUUAUUUUUGUGUCAGGCUGUCUUUAUAAGAGUCAGUUAAUGUCCAUAUGAGAAUUUUAAAUUUUAUAAUUCUCAUGUUUCCAAGUUUAAAUUUGUAAACUUAAUUUUCACUUUAAAGAUGAGGAUUUUGAUUUUAAUUUUUCAUGGAUGCCUUUUAACUGUAUUGGAUUUUCUUUCCUUUAUACUGGAGGCAUUUUAAUUUUGUAAAAUGAGAUAAGAGUCUAGCAACAAUAACUUAAUGUGAGAGCAUAUCAGUGAUUAAGCUUCCUAAAGUUGAGCUUGUUUAUAUCCAUUGUUUACAAUACUCAUUCAGUUUUUUUUUUUUUUUGGACAGAGUGGACAGUGAGAGAGAGAGACAGAGAGAAAGGUCUUCCUUUGCCAUUGGUUCACCCUCCAAUGGCUGGCGUGGCUGGCGCGCUGCAGCCAGCGCACCACACCGAUCCGAAGGCAGGAGCCAGGUGCUUAUCCUGGUCUCCCAUGGGGUGCAGGGCCCAAGCACUUGUGCCAUCCUCUACUGCACACCCGGGCCACAGCAGAGAGCUGGCUUGGAAGAGGGGCACCGGGACAGAAUCCGGCGCCUCGACCGGGACUAGAACCCGGGGUGCCCGGGCCGCAAGGCGGAGGAUUACCUUAUUGAGCUGCGGCGCCGGCCCUCAUUCAGUUUUUAAAGCAAAGCCAUUACCAGUUAAUCUCAUAUGUGGGAUAUGGUAGUGGUUUUAAAAUUUAUUUUUAUUAAUUUAAAAUAUUUUAAAAUAAAUAAAACCUUGUAUAUAUUUAUGACAUUCUCUGUGCUGUAAAUCAACCUAGUAACAAUAGAAACCACAUUUACCACAAUCUCUCAGAUUUUUUAGAAUGAUACAGUAGUAUAAUAUAUAUGCAGAAUUUGUACAUGCAAGUUGAGUAGCCUUUAUCUGAAAUGUUUGGGACUGGUAGUGUUUUGAAUUUCAGAAUUUUUUUUCAGAUUUUAGAGUAUUUUCUUAUACUUAAGGAAGCAUGGGAUCCAAAUUUAAACAUAAAAUUAGUUUUAAUGUAGACUUAUAUAUAUAGCCAGAGGGUGAUUCUAUACAAUAUCAUUAGUAACGUUGUAUAGGAAGCAGUCUGUGUGCCCUGACCCAUCAGAAAGCAAAGAAACCCAUCAGAAAGUACUGUUUCAACUACGCCUGAGGAUGAUCUGGGUUGUAUGGCAUCACCAUCAUUCCUGAUUGAGUGUAUGUGCUACCAAUACACAGUUGUUUUCUUGUAUCCAUAUCUGAGUAUGUAACAGUACAGAAUAUGGUGUGCCAGGAAUACAGUGAAAAUGUGUUCAGAGCUGCUAACAGCACACUGGCAUCAUCAGAGUGCUUGUAUCAGCUGUUCAACAGCAGCAACAACAUGUAGCAUCAGGCUUUCGGUCUCCACCUGCAAUGCUGUGUUUUGAUAAAGGGUCACAAUACACUGUUACUUCCAGUAAGAAGAAACAUCAGAAAUAGUUUCCUGACCAGGAAGUAGAUCUUCUAGGGAAGGAGAUGUAUUCUGCUGGAUGGCUUUUUAAAAUGUUUCUUCUAGAAUCAUCUGACUCAUUAGCAACAUUUUUUUUGUCUUAGAAGUCUUUUAUUAAUUGACAUCUGAUUCCUUGUUCUGUUGUAAUCAUGCUACUCUUGUCCUUCAGUGAGCCCAUCAUACAUUUUUGCCAGGUUGUCUUGAGACACAUUUUUUUUUGCAUGUUGACACAUCAUCUUUGUUGUCACUGUUAGGUUUGAGUUGAUUUAGAAACAUUUCAUCUAUUUCACCAUCAAAGAAUGAACAACUGCAGUCUCAUAACUGAUGGUAAGACAUUAUUCUGUAUGCACUGUAUCUUCUGUAUAUCUUCUACAUUCACUGUUGGAUUCUGGGUUGUUGGGUUUUUUUGUUUUUUGGGUUUUUUUUUUGCCUGUGUUUAGAAAUCAGAUACAGUUUUUUCCUCACUUGACGUGUAGAACACUUCAAAGUCACUGUUCUGUUCAUCAUUAUCACUGAUCCUAGCUGCAGUCCAGAGAGUGUACCAGGCAUGUGAAACUAUGCCUUUGGUCACCAUGUUCCAAGCAUUGGCUGUAGCAUAUAUUGACUCCUUCAUGCUAAAUUCCUCUUUGAAAACUUUAAACCUAUGUCCCCUGUUCAUUGCUGCUAUAAAACUGUUCAAGAAAGUAUUUAUUACUUUUUAUUGAUCUAAGGAUACUCUGGCCUCUUGGAUGAAUUAAUAAAGUCAUAUUUGGGGGAGAGUACAUGGCAAAAACAAUAUUGUUGAUGAGAAUUUCAGCUAGAGUAUGAACCAAAUUGUUGUCAAGGAAUAAGAAGCUUGUAAGCAGCAUUUAGUUCAGCUUUCCUGCAGUGAGCUUGAGCUGUGAUACAAAGUAUUUCUGAAACUAGCCAGAAACAUGUCCCUGAUGAACCAUGCCUUUUUGAUAGCGUAAUAAUGGACUGGUAGGACAUUAAUUCCUUUAAAACAGCAAGGACACAAGCUUUUGCCUAUCACAUCAAGUUUACACUUAUGCUUGCCUGCUACAUUAGCAAAUGUCAGAACAGUUGUUUUGUCUUUGACAUCCUUAAUUUCCAUAGGGGCUAUCUCAUCAGCUAGAGAAAGUCUUUCUGGGGUAUUAAUGCCAAAUCAGCGUUAUAGACUUGUUCUGGCCUCAGAUUUUCAUCAGUAUUAACCUUAGCAAACUCAUCAAUAGAUUUAACUUCCAUUUUGUGAUAUCAUAGAAGAUCUCUGAAAAUGUAAAUGCCAUUUCAUGUUUUAAAUUUCUGCAGCCAGCCUCUGGAACAUUCACAGUUCCUUUCAUUUCAGUUCAUUGUGAUAGAUGUUUGCUUGUUAAUAUACAGUUUAGUAGCAUGCAUUCCCUACCAUGCCAAAAGGCCCACCCUUUCAUUGUACAAUUGAGAUCUUCAUUUAUUAGCGGUGUGUAGUGGUUUUCUAUUUUGCAUUAACUUCAUUAGUUUCAGCAUAAAAUGCUAGUAGUUUAUCAUCUACUUCUUUAAGUCGUGUAGUAUUCAUUCCAAUACCGUACUUGGCUGUAAGAUCUUUCACACUUAAACUGCUGUCCAGUUUCUCCAAAAGCUUGAUUUUCUGUGCUACAUGUAGACAUACAUGCUGUUCUUAUUUUCUCAAGUUGACAUGUAAGAUAACUUCAGGCCUUUUAAUGUUUUCAACAUAUUUUCAUCAUAGAGCAGAGAAUAAACAGAAAAACAGUGGGUAAUACAUGUAGUUUUUGACCCCUUGUGGGUCAUUAUGGGAUGUCUGGCCUGCACAAGUGCCAUGGUGUUAGCCUUUAUGGAUAUGCUUGCCUGAGGGAACUGGGCAUACAGCUGAAGAGGGUAUGGAGGGUCAUUUUUCCCGUAAGAAUGCUAACUAAACAGUGUGUUUUGACUGAGACCCACCAUACAAGAUGAGUAGUGGAAUUUUCCACCUGUGGCAUCAUAUUAGUGCUCAAAACAUUUUAAUAUUUUGUAUUUAGGAUUUUCAAAUUAGGGAUUGUAUAUAUAUGUAUAUAUAGAUAUAUAAAUGUAUGUAUGUGUGUUAUACUGGGAUUGUAUAUGUAUGUAUGUUAACAGUAUAAUCUUCCCCACUGUUGAAGAGAGGUAAAUCUGCUAUCACUAGAAAAUGUGUUUUCUGUAAGAUUCAAAAAUCUAUAAAUAUAUUUAUGAUCUGUGGUCAGGUGUUUCAGGGAGAGAAGAGUAAAUCAAGAAGCAUUACAAGUAUGCUCAUAUGGUAUGCAUAAAGCUUGUGGUUAAAAAAUGUGUGGCCUUCAAUGCCUAGGCUCAUAAUAGAAGUAAAUCACUCACAGUCAUUCUUUUGUAUUAGAGAGUAUUAACCAAAGUGAAAGUAAUUGCUUCACUUUAGUUUUACAAUAUUAGAAAUAGUCCAUCUGACCCAUGUCCCUUUGACUCACUGUUCCUCAUGGAUCAUGUUUUCAGAAUGGACCAGCCAAAUGUGACAUUCCUUGACCCUAAGGAUUAUAAUUUAAGAAAUUAUUUUUAUACAUUGUAAGUGAAGUAAGAGAGUUACUUGGCAGUUCUUAAUAUUAAUUCUCAUGAAUAUAUUUGUGAGCUCAAAAGUAUUACAUGAAAAUCUUAUCUGUUACCCUAGAUAGUAUGAAUUAGAGAUUUAGGUAGGUGUUCAGUUGUCUUUACUUCUUAGAACAUAGAUACAGGGCAUGGUUUAGGCUCUAUUGGAUGAUCCCUAAUAAAAUUCUGUAAUUCUUCUUGGCUUACUUGGGAAGCUACUAAAAGUAAUACACCCAUAUGUUCAACCCAUUUUAUUCUUCUAAAUUCUAAAAAGAGGUUGCCUUCUUGAUGCAAGGAUCAAAUCUCUCAUCACCACCACCACCAAACCCAUCACCAAGUGCCUCCACAGUAAGGGAAGUUAAUUGAAAGCCUCCCAUGGUACCAACUGAGAUAGGAAUCUCAUAAGAACAGAACACUGUAUAGUUUAGCAAUUGAAAGGAUCUCAUUAAUCUCUAAGAGACAGAAGCACAAGUUGUAGGCUCAGCAACAUUUGCUACUUGAUGCCCUUUCAUUGCUUGUGGUAACUCAGUUCCUCUGUCUAUGUUUGCUGUCAGCCAGCUAGCUCACUCCUUUAUGUCUCUAUUUUUUUUUAAAUUAAAGAUUGCAUUAAUUUGUGUCAUCAUUAAAUUUAUAUUCUUAAUUUUUAUCUAUAUCAGCUCCGAAUAAGAAAACUAAGCAGCCUCAUAGGCCUUAACUAAUACGACUUCCAGAAGAUCUGAAGAUGCAGACAGUGCUGUCUUUCUUCCUCAUUUUCAUACGGUCUCUUAGUGGAUUUCAAGCUUUUCUCAUGCCUGUGAUGUAUGAAAAGAGGAACGCAACUUCUUCACAUGCAGCAUGUUAAGUUUUUAUCUUCAUCUUCAUAUACCUUGUAAGAUGGAUAAUACGUCUCUCUGAAAGAAAUACAGAAGAAACUGUUUUUUGUCAUUUUUGUAUUAACAGUACACUGAAUGUAAUAGGAUCAAAUUCAUCUUAUGAAUGUGCAAUUGAAAAUUCACUGCUGAAGGAAACAUGUGCAGUGCAGUGGGCACUAGGGGAUGGAUUCCAUUGGAGUUUCUGUGUAUGAGUGUUAUACAGUGACUGGGAGGUAAUAGGGAUCGCUUUACCAGGAAAGAAAGGAAGAAAAUCCUCCAUGGGAGUUAGAAGACCAAGCCUGAUUUUCCAGGGCUAAUCUUAACGUGGCUGGAUUACUUUAUGAAAGCAUUUUUACAUCUGAAUUUUAGAUCCUCAUUGGCACAUAAUUAUUAUCUUGUUAAAUCUUCACAAUUUUAAUGAAAACAUUUGUGAAAGAGAAAGUGGAAAAUCAUUCCAUGAGUAUUACCAUAUUACUCUAUAUCUCAUCCUCCAAAGAGGAUUUUUACAGCUGCUUUACAGUUAUUGCAGAAGGAAUGCUUGUUACUUAACUGGUCAUAAACCUCUAAUUAUCCUCAACCUUUCAACUAAACAAAAAUUAACUAAUAUUAUUAUCUUUGUUAGUUUCCUUCUGUGUAUUAUUCCCUUAAUCUUUAAUAACUCUGUCACCAUCUACUCAACUUUUACCAUGGCUUCCUCUCAUUUAUUUGCAUGAACUGAAAUCUGAUCAAUCCCUAUAUCUGUGCCCCACAGUUUAAGAAAAUAUUAUUGGAAAGAAAAGUUAAGUUGACACCUCCCUACCAAAUCCCAAGGAUAAUUAUUAUUUCAUAUUUAUUAGAAGCAAAACAAAACUUCAAAACAUUUUCUGUCAAUUUUGCUUAUUUGGUGAGCAUGGAGUUAGCUAGUCUUCUGCCUUCUCUUUCUCAGCGUUUUGUGUGCUCAACAUGCUCACCAUGAAAAUACUGAAGUUGUGCGUGGUUCACCACAUUUAUGAGAUUCACAUUUGAAAGGGGCGAGCAUUCAAUGUUCUUUCUCUGUCACUCAGGCAGCAAAGGAAACAUUGGAAAAUGUUGAAGAUAUUAAGAUUCCAUUGUAAAUAUUUUCUUUGGAAAAUCAUUAAUUUGUCACAUUUAUUUUGUGUUAAGUAUCCUAAAGCACUCAAAGUUCUUUAAACUCAGUACUCUUGUCUUAUUAUUAGGAAUCUAUUGUGAGCUCAGCUUUAUUGCACCGAUUUUGAACUUAAGCCUGUGGACUAUUGCUCAUUUCUGGAUCCACAGCAUAUACUGCAAACCUGUAAAAGUAAGACCAAACCGGGAAUGGUAGAAUACAAAAAGAGUGACUAAUUCUGUGUAUAAUGGUUGGGUAUGAAAGAGGUUGUUAGAGAAUAUGUACUGAAGGAGCUUGCCUAAGAGUGGGACUUUAAAAGGACUAGGAGGGCCGGCGCCGCGGCACACUAGGCUAAUCCUCCGCCUAGCGGCACCGGCACACCGGGUUCUAGUCCCGGUCGGGGCACUGGAUUCUGUCCCAGUUGCCCCUCUUCCAAGCCAGCUCUCUGCUGUGGCCUGGGAGUGCAGUGGAGAAUGGCCCAAGUGCUUGGGCCCUGCACCCCAUGGGAGACCAGGAGAAGUACCUGGCUCCUGCCAUCGGAUCAGCGCAGUGCGCCGGCCGCAGCAGGCCGGCCAUGGCGGCCAUUGGAGGGUGAACCAACGGCAAAGGAAGACCUUUCUCUCUGUCUCUCUCUCACUGUCCACUCUGCCUGUCAAAAAAUAAAAAUAAAAAAAAAAAAUUUAAAAAAAGGACUAGGAGGAGAUUCCCCACAUUCCAGUUCAGCACAGUAUGUGCAAAAGCCCAGUGGGGCAAAAUUCCUGAGUUUGUAGAAGUAUGAGAUGACUGAGGGUGAAAUUAGAAGAUCAAGAGACGAGCUUAAAGAGGGAGACAAAAACUAGAUUCAAGACUUUCUAUGAAUUUCAAAGGCGAUUGAAUUGGGUCAUAGACAUAGGAUGGAGUAAAAGAAGGGUUUGAAGCAUCAGAGUGAUCUUGGAUUUGCAUUUUAGAAAUUUUGCUUUGGCAUCACUAUGGAACUGUGGACUAGAAGGCAGUGGAGUCUAGAGCCAUGGAGAACAAUUCUUGAGAGUAUACAGAGAUCACCCUGGAAAACUCCAGAACUGGAAGGACAAAAUGGACCUGGGCCUGGAGGGGACAUAUUGAGAAUGCCCUGCAGAGUCCCUCUUCUGAAAGAGUUCACUCCAGUUGGGGACUAGCUACACAGAAUAGGAACAGACUUCCUAUGUACAGGAAAAGAGGAUUUGUGUGAAUAGAUAAGAAGCAAUUGAGACCAUGAAAUAUGAGUGACCACCAGAGAAUAAGUGGAGCAACAGUUGCUUAGCCCUGGGAAAAGGAACCUUUCAGGGAUCAACAGAAUGUAGAGUUAAAAGGGCUAGGGACAAACACAUAGCCAUAUUGCUGUCGGGACUAUUAGGCAGUAGGAAUUCCGACCCAGGUACUCUUGCUCACCCCAGUCUUAGCCUAUAUUGGGGGGAAACUCUAAAAUCAAGUUAGUAAAGCUUUUGUUUUAUGAUAUAAAUAAGUUUUCAUUUAACAAAAAUUCCCAUUUUUCAUAUAUUUAAUAGGAAAUAAUUACAAUGUUAUAUAAUUGUUCAGUCAGUAAAAUUUUAUCUUUCAGAUCAUAUCAUUUUUCUUUAAAAUCUGUGCAUACUCUUACAAUGCUUUCAAAACUAGAUUUUGAUUGACUUGAAUCAUCAGAAGAUCCUGGAGGGGAUGCCUUAUUGGAUUCAGCUUUAAAUUCAGCAGCAGUGCUUUCUUUUUCUGACUCUCUAGGCCUGCUUUUACCCAGACUUCCUCCACGUCUUAGGCAAGUUGUUCUCCAUGUUAUCUGAAGGUUGUGGUCUUGAUGUCGGAAUUACUGAGUUUUCUAGAGGAAGGUUUCUAUCGGAUUUUUCCUCUAGAAUAAGGUUUCCAUUAGGAUUUUUCUGCAACAUGGUAGUUAUAGGACUAGCCUUCUAGUGAGAGUGCUGAGUAAAGAAUUGUGACAAGUUUGGUAUUAAUUUCCGUUAGCCUCUAAGUAGUCUUUGUUUAGUUCAGUUGACAGUAAUUUUGUAACUUAAUUCUCCAAUAUAGAAUUGCUUAUGGUUUUCUAACUCAACUUAUUACAAUAAUCUUCUUGAGCAGUUUUCAUUUUGGAGAGUUAUGAUACUUAAAAAAAAAAAAAAGAUGUAUUUAUUUAAAAGGCAGAGAAACAGAGAGCUCUUCCAUCCACUGGUUAGCUCCCAAAUGUCCACAAUAGCCAGGGCUGGGUCAGGCCAAAGCCAAGAGCCACUCCAUGUAGGUCUCCCUGUGGAUGAGACUAUCAUCUGCUUCCUUCCCAGGUACAGUACUUGAACUGGUACUAACAUACAGAUGUGAGCUUUCAAAGUGGUAGCUUAAGCCACUGCCCAACAACUCCCACCCCCAAAUUCCAGAACUUUAAUUCAGCGUUGAAUUUCACUUGUUACUGAACUGUUAUUAUUCUCUCUUUACUGCUCUAAGUUUCUUUAAAAUAUUGUUUAUGCCUGUAGAAACAGACUGACUUUUUAAAAAAUUGUAUCCUUUAUCCAAUCUUCCUUUAGUCUCUUGUUUACACUGUGCUGCUUGUCCAUAUUCAACAGUAUUCAUUUCUGUAUGUUUAGGAUUUAAAAAACUUUAGCUUUUAACAGAUUUAAUGUAGUUCACAGAUACAAUUAUAAGAAUAUAAGGAUAUUUCCUCCCUACUUCUACAGCCUUCUUUGUUUCUUUAAUUUUUAAGAUAAUAUAUUUUAAAUUACAUUAAAGUAAAAAGGUUUAAUGCUUUACCAAAUAAGAAGUUUAACAAGUAAAAAGUGAAAAAGUUUGGUGGGGAUAUAGACGAGGGCUACAAACAGUAAUUGAAUGGAAAAAUCAUAUCACCAUAUACAGUAAAUUUUAAAGUAAUCACAGAUCAUUAAAACUAUAUAUUGGUUUCACAAAGGUAUAAAACAAUGUUUUGCAAAGCCAUAUUUGAAACAAAACUGAUAGGUACAAACAUUUCUCCUUUUUUUUAAAGAUUUAUUUUACUUAUUUGAAAGGCAGAGUUGCAGAGAGAGGGAGAAACAGAAAGAGAGAGAGAGAUCUUCUAUAUGCUGGUUCACUCCCCAGAUGUCCUCAAUGGCCAGGGCAGGGCCAGACCAAAGCCAGGAGCCAGGUGACCAGGAGCUUCUUUCAAGUCUCUCAUGUGGGCACAGGGCCCAAGCACUUGGGCCAUCUUCCACUGCUUUCCCAGGUACAUUAGUAGGUAGUUGAAUCAGAGCACCAUCUUCCACUGCUUUCCCAGGUACAUUAGUAGGUAGUUGGAUCAGAGCCUGAACUUGAAUGGGCACCCAUAUGAGAUGCAGGCAUCACAGGUUGUGGCUUUACCUGCUAAACUACAACAGUAGCCCUGAAAUUUGUAUUUUGUUUUUGUUUUUUGAUUUUUUUAAAAAGAAUUUUAGCUCCCACACAUAUAUGGCAGUAUUUUUCUUUGUCUGGCUUAUUUCAUUCAACAUGAUAUCUUCCAUUUGUACCUGUUUUGAUACAAAUGGUGAACUUUCAUUAAUUUUUAUAGCCAAAUAGUAUUCUAUUGUGUAUAUAUUCCACAUUUUCCUUAUCCAUUCAUCUAAUGAGGGAUACUUUGGGAUCCAUAUUUUGGCUAUUGUAAGCAGUGCUGUUAUAAACAUGGUAGUGCUGGUAUCUCUUUGAUAAACAACAUGUUCAUGUACUUCGGGUGUAUGACCACUAGUGGGAUUGCUGGGUCAUAUGGCAAGUCUAUUUCUAGUUUUUUUAUGAAACUUCAUACUGUUUCCUACAGUGACUGCACUAAUUUACAUUCCCCAAAACAGUGUAUAAGUGUUCUUCUCCUUUCACCACAUCCUCACCAGCAUUUGUUACUCUCUAUUUUUGGAUUUUAGCCAUUCUGAGAGGGAUGGAUAAUAGCUCCCCGAGGUUUUGAUUUGCAUUUCCAAAAAGGCUAGUGAUGUUGAGCAUUUUUUCAUAUAUUUAUUGGCCAUUUGUUUUUCUUCUUUUGAGAACUGUUGAGGUCCGUUGCCCAUUCUUUAACUGAAUUGGGUUUUGAGUUUUUAAGUUGCUUAUGUAUUCUGGAUGUUAAUCCUUUGUUUGAUAGGUAGUUCACAAAUAUUUUUACACCUUGGUUGUUUCUUCACUCUGUUGAUUAUUUCCUUUGCUGUGCAGAAGCUUCUGAGUUAGACCUCAUAAUAUUUGUUUAGUUUUGUUUUUGUUGCCUGUGCUUUGGGGUCUUGUACAAGAAGUCACCCCCUGCAGUAAUAUCUUUGAUUCCCCUACAGUUAAUUGCAUCAAGUUCAGAGUCUCGGGUCUUAAAUGUAGUUAUCCAAUCUAUCUUGCAUUGAUUUUUGUAUAUGGGGAGAGAUAUGAAUCUAAUGUCAUUCUUCUACAUAUAACAUUUCUGCAUGACUUUUGAAGUUUACUAUUUGAUUCAAUUUCUUUUUCUUUUCUAGUCCUCUAGUUUUUCACAUUUCUUUUGUAAUUUGUUAUAGGUUUUAAUUCCUAUUGAACAACUUGAUCCUUUCUCCAGAUGUAGACAUUUUAGAGAUACAGUUUUUGGUUUUGCUGUAAGAUCGUUCCUCUUUUUAUAUUAUUCUGAAUGUCCACUACAGAGGAACUUAUUUUAAAAUCUCCAUGGGAACCAAAUUUUCCUCUUCAUAUUUGUUUAACUUCCUUCAGUUAUAUAUUUCUAAUUCACCAUUUUUCUUCAUUUCUUCAUCUAACUUGUAUUUUAGAGAUUAUUUUAUUUCAGUAAGUUUGGUUUUUUAUGUCUUCAUAAAAAAUAGGACUUAACAGAUUUUUCUAGAGAUCUUCACUUUUUCUAGCUUGCUCUUUGAUUUUGAUUUUUAGUUCAGAACUUUCACUCAAUCUUUUCCAGGUGCUCUUUUAUCUUCUCAAUAUCUAGUACAAGCUCUCUGCUGAUGUUGUGAUUCUUGGAAAUGACUUCGGUUUUAACCUACCUUCUUCUUUAAAUCUUGUACUCCUCUUCCGCACCAGCGUGAUAACAUGUCAUGGCCUCUGAUGUCCAGUUUUUUUUUUUUUUUAAUGGCAUCAACCAGUUGUUGUUGAAUUAAUAGUCUCAUAACCACUUCUCUUUCUGCUUUCUCAUUUUCAUAUUGAUACAGUCUUUCUUUUACAUGAUUACAUUCAUUAACUCUUAAUUCCUCUUUUCUAUGACUUUGUUUUUUGCUCUCAGCCUGGUGUUUUUCAAUAUCAUAAAUAGGCCAUGGAUAUUAAUUACUACAUCUUAUUUGCAUCCUUAUUUAUUAACAAGUGGAGAUUUAUUAAUUGACAUUUACUUGAAAGGCAGAGAGACAGAAAGAUUGGUUUUUUGCUUGUACACUCCCCAAAUAGCUAGGACUGGGCCAAGCUGAAGCCAGACUUCAAUCUGAUCUCCCAUAUGGGUGUCAGAGACCCAAGUUCUAAAGCUAUCACUUGCCAUCUCCCAGGACACACAUUAGCAAGAAGCUGGCUUAGAAGCAAAGGAGGCAGAACUCAGACAAGGCACCACAAUAUGGAAUGCAGUCGUAUCAAGCAGCAACUUAACCAGCCCCUCAUCCUUAUUUUGAGCAUUAGAAAGAUGUUGUUGAACCAACAUAUUUUCAUUUUGUAGUCCUACCUUUCAGUGCAUUUGUUCACUUCACCUUGUUCCUUUUGAUUCAUGUGUUUGGUUUACUUCAUUUGACACUGUGCUUGGCUUGGGUCUUUUUGUAUGUGCUCUAAAACCAGUCUUUUCUCUGAAAGUAUCUCUUGUGUGAUGGAGUGUAAUUUCUAGGCUAUUAAAAGUCCUUUCAGCUUUUGAGAAAGAACCUUAUUGUUGUGUUUUGAGUUUCCGACAUCAAAAUUCCUAUUGUGAUGUAAACAAAACCAUUCACUUCUUGUCUCUGGAAAGCACAUCUAAUGUGUCCUCUUGAUGUCUGAAUUUGAUCACAUUGCGGAUAGAAGCAAUUGGUCCGGUAUAGUAUGAUUCAGUCUCUGUUUCCAGCCUUCAUUUCAUAUUCAAUUCUCUAUUUUAGAAUUUGCUACUAUAUUUUCAAAUGUCAGGUCACUAAGCUGUCCAUUUUAAUGGAAUAUCAUUUUCUCUAAUGCAUUCUUAUUCCAUUUUAUUGUCUUUCAAAGUUCACCAUUUUAUUUUACAUUUUCAAUAUCCUUAUUAUAUUUAUUUUCCUUUUACUUGUUCUAAUUUUUACUAUGUCUAUUUCUUGUCUUAGCAUGGCAGUUUCAUCCUGGAACAGAUCUUUUUCUAUUUCAUGACUCAGAAUUAGUUUUCUUUUAAGCCAUUCUGUUUCCUUCAAUUUGCAAAAGUGUCCAGUCAGAGUACUGUCUUGCAGUAUUCUGAUACUCUGUUGUUCAGAAAGUUGCCUCUGGGUUUCUGUUUGCUCUUCUGCAAUCUCAGAAUCCAAAGCUGAUUUUAUAGGUUCAUCUUCUGAUCAUACAGACUUCAAAUCCCUUUUGUUUUUGAAGAUUCCAUUACCAUAAGUCAGUUUGUCAUUAUUUGCUCUCAUGGAGCACUUUCAAUAACAUUCAUAUAAUUUUCUCUUUUUAUUUUCUUAUUGCUGGCUGUUUCACUCCUUCCUUUGACAAGUCAAAAUUCCUACUGUGAUGUAAACAAAACUAUUCACUUCUUCUCUGGAGAGUGCAUUUAAGGUGUACUCUUGAUGUCUUAUUCUGUAAGAAAAGGGCUUGGUAAAACCAGCAUGAGUGUUUAGAAGAAGCUCAGGUGGUGAUGGUAAGGCAGGACUCUGGACUUUGAUGUUUCAGGAACAUGUUCAAUUACAUAUCCAUUUUGCCUAACUGAAUUACUAUGGUUAUUCCUAUUCUCUGGUUCAUGUUUGCCUUCUUUAUUUUCUCCUGACUUGCUGAGAAGCAGUCAAUCACUUCAUUAUGCUUGGUUUCAGAACAUUCUGCUUAGAUAGUCUUCAGAAGUCUUAUGGCCUUGAUGGCUAUUUUCAUACAUUUCAGAUCUCUUUUUCUAUAUUCAGAAAUUACUAGGUUAAUGUUAUAAAAAUCUAUGGCAAAGAGCAUAUUUCUCUGCAGUCCUUCCAGAGCUAUCUUGAGAAAAGACAUCAACACCUUACUGAAAAGGCUGACAGUCUUCAUUGAUUCUUAGUUUACAGCAGACAUGAGCAUUGUUCUUUCAUCAACUGUAUGAAUAUUUGACUUUUUCUUUAUUAAAAUUCCACCAUUUUCUCUCUAGUUUUAUUUAUACCAAGGGAAAAAGUGGUAUAAUGCUACCCUUGAAUAGCUAGACUGUGUAAAAGCAAUUCUGUUGCUAUGACUGUAUUCUGACUAUAGAUCACAUAGUAGAGGGAUGUUUCCAUUGUCCUCUAAGAUUUAUAUCAGUGCCAUGUUGGAGUGCCAUGUUCUAGCAAAAUAUUUGCAUGUUCAUCUUCCUUCCAUUUUAUAGCCUGAAUCAGAGUUGCCCUAUUUUUGUUGUCCCAAGUGUCAAGUAGACAUUUUCUCCCCAUUCAGAGGGUUACCAUCCUAGAUGGCCAUUGGCACAAGUCAAAUGCAGACAGUCUCCUCCCUGGAUUUUUUGCUGCCUCUUGAGCCCAACACUGGCACUGUAGAUGAGCCAUAUGGUCUCAUUGCAGAGCUCCAAUGUUUCCAUUCUUCAGCUCACAGCCACUAUGGGCAGGUAACACUGCUAAUAUUGCACCAGGUGCCACAGGAGCAGUAAAGCUUUUUUUUAAGGAACUUCACAACAUAAAUAUGAUUACUUUUUUAAAAAAAGACAUUUCCAAAAAUAUCAACAAGAUAGUCUUUUUCCUGCUAAGUGCAAUUUAGAGUAACAUGUGACAAUUUAAUUUUUGUUGAUGUCACCUCUUCUAUUCUGUUUAGAUAGCCUUUACAAAAUACAAAGAAAGCAUCUUUCACUCACAUAUCAGUUUGUAAACAAAUUUUUUUCUACAAAAUCAGUGCUUCAUAGUUUUUUGGUCUAGAGUUGAAAGUAGGACUUCCUCUCUUCUGGCUUGUAUCUGAGCUCCUUAAAAAUAGAAAUGCCCACAAACUCUAAUUCAUAUGGAUCACAGAGAUGAUAAGCCAGAAUGACUACUUUAUGCCUUUGACAGAUCUUAGUCUUUUAUACAGUGAGUAAUACUUAUGUAAUUUUUCUUCAAGCAAAUAUACUUUACUCACUGUCUUCAUACUGCAUGUAGAUAAGUAGAUAAUGAGUUUCAACCAUAGCAGUAGAGUUUUGUGGAUGCCAUGCAGGGGAAUUAGGUUGACUUUUAAUGAAUACUGUAUUUUAGUGAAAGGAUGGAAAAAGAUAUCCUGACAGCAGAAAUGAGCAGAUGUAGCCAUCCUGAUAUCAGAGGAAAUAGACUUUAAUACGUGCACAAAAAAAUAAGGAAUACUUUAGAUUAGGACUUCUCAAAAUGAUGUCUACAAAGAUCUUCCUAUUCUCAAUGGGAUGCAACCCUCCCUCCUCCAACUACUUAAAAGUCCUGUGUUGAAAAACAUAAUUUCUCCCAAAGGAUUUCCUUUUCAGGGUUUUAGAGCUUCAGAAAGAAAGAGAAACCUAUAUAGUUUGGUGACUUAACUGACUGGGAAUCUUUAAUUCUUGCAGUGCCUAAUAUGGGAUUUAGGAUCUGGGUGUGGAAACAGAGUAUAAGCCCAGUAAUAAGUUAGAACUGGAGCCCCACUGGCUAUUGGAAAACUGAAUUAUCUGUGAAUGAAGUGGAAAUAAUCACUACAGGCACAGAAUAUAUACCUUGUUCAACUCAGCUCACUUUUUUACCUAUUUCAAUAAUUGUCAGAAUCAUUAUUUAAAAUAUUCCUAGUUCAGUAAUCAGAGUGUCAUGGAAUGAGUAUCAUAAAAUUGGCUAAGUAAGCUGGUUGGUUCCCCUACCCUUAAGCUAGCAACCUUACAUCAUGAGGACCAUGGCAGCUUUCUAACCUUUAAUAAAGGUAUUUGAGUGAGUGGAACAUACACUUAAGAAAUUUUUCUGGCCGGCACCAUGGCUCAAUAGGCUAAUCCUCUGCCUUGCAGCGCUGGCACACCGGGAUUUAGUCCUGGUCGGGGCGCCGGAUUCUGUCCCGGUUGCCCCUCUUCCAGGCCAGCUCUCUGCUGUGGCCUGGGAGUGCAGUGGAGAAUGGCCCAAGUGCCUGGGCCCUGCACCCCAUGGGAGACCAGGAGAAGUACCUGGCUCCUGCCAUCGGAUCAGCGCGGUGCGCCGGCCUUAGUGCGCCUGCCGCGGCGGCCAUUGGAGGGUGAACCAUCGGCAAAGGAAGACCUUUCUCUCUGUCUCUCUCUUUCACUGUCUACUCUGCCUGUCAAAAAAAUAAAAAUAAAAAAAUAAAAAAAUAAAUUUUUCUGUCAUCCCAUUUGUAAAAAGUUAACAGGAAUUAAAACUUUGGAAGUUUGGUGAUUGUUUAUACUGAGAUUUGUAGGUAGGAACACAGGGUUGUUCUUAGGUUAUGUGAUCUUCCAGCAGAUGAAGCUUCUAGAUACCAAGUGAUAAUGAUCACUAGAAAGAGAAGCCACUUUUAGGAAUGCAGAGUGAGCAACUGGGGAUGCAUUUGAAGUUCCUGUUUUUUUGCAAAAUAAGUGUGUGAGAUAUAUGUAAAAUACAGUUAAGCCUGUAUUCUAUUUUUAAAACUGUUGCCUCAUGUUGGGUUAAUUUUGGAGUAUAGAAAAAUAAUCAGGAAUAAGUAGUCUGAAGGCCACAUAUGGCCCAUCUUCUAAUGAGAGAUACAGUAUUCAGUUCACACAGAGUAAAGCAUCCAUGACCUUUCUGUGACAAAAAAAAAAAAAAAGGUGGGAGUGACUUUUAAUAACCUUUUCUUUUUUUUCAGUACCAAUAAGUCUUGAUUUAUUCAUUUUAUUUCCCCAGGUAAAGGAGAAGGGAUGGGGAGAGUCAGCAUAUGUGUUACAGCAAUUAGAACAUGGAAAAGGAAGUACCCAGUACAGCAAAAAUCAACCUUCAACUAAACACACCCCAUGAUGGGGUCACCAAACUCAAGGGGCUUAGUCUCCGGCAGUUAAGGAAUGAGGGGACACACGCUUUCUUACCCUCUCUCACUCCCAUAAAUUUAAGAUUUCACACAAAGCUUUGGUUUCUAGCAGUAAACAUGGAGUUACAUUCGUCCAUCUCCUAUCAAACAAUCUUGUGGCCACCUUGACAUAAGUUUCUUGUACUUGCAUAAAAGUUCCUGAGUGACUUACAUGUACAUUCAUAGUCCCCUUCUUGGUCUCUGAACCCCACUCUGUUCUUUCAGGUUUUUAUUGAAUGAUUACAAAUUUCAUAUAUACAGCUUUUAAAGAUAUAAUAUUUCCUCCCCCCCAUUCCCACCCUCUCACCCCCCCACUUCCAUUCCACCUCCAACUUCCUCUUCCAUUCCAUUUUCCAUUAAGAUUCAUUUUUAAUUGACUUUAUAUACAGAAGACUAGCUCUGUAGAGAUUUCAACUCUGUAGAGAUUUCAACUAUUUGCACCCAAAGUAUAAAGUACAGUCUGACAACAAGUUUUACUGUUAAUUCUCAUAGAAAACCUCAUUAAGGAAAGAGGUCCAACAUGGGGAGUAAAUGCACAGUGACUCCUGUUGUUGAUUUAAUAAUUAACUUUUUUUAUGUCAGUGACCACCUGAGGCUCUUUAUAAGAGCUGCCAAGGCUAUGGAAGCCUUUUGAGUCCACAGACUCUAUUGGUAUUUAGUCAGGGCCAUAAUCAAAAUGGAAGUUCUCUCCUUCAGAGAAAAGUACAUCCUUCUUCGAUGGUUCCUUCUUUCCACUGGGAUCUCACUCACAGAGAUCUUUCAUGAAGAGCCAUUUUUGCCACUAUGUCUUGACUUCCCUGCCUGAAAUGCUCUCAUGGGAUUUUCAGUCAGAUCCAAAUGCCUUAAGGGCUGAUUUUGAGGUCAGAGUGCUAUUUAGGGCAUUUGUCAUUCUAUGAGUCUGCUGUGUGGACUGCUUUCCAUGUUGGAACUUUGUUUGGUAAUUCUAUCUAUUAUUACCAGACACUUGGUCUUAUUCAUGUGAUCCCUUUGACUUUUGUUCCUAUCUAUAUGAUCAAUUCCACACUUAAUACCAUCACUUAUCACAUAAGAUGGGAUUAGUGGCACCAGUGAAAUAGCAUUUAGAAUCCCAUGGCAACUUUUUAGCUUCACUAUUAGGGGUAAGUCUGUGGGAAUGUGUGCCAAUCUGUACAGCUCCUUCCCCUCUCAUUCGUGCUCUUAUUUUUAAUUGGGAUCUAUUUUCAGUUGACUUAAUACAGCUAUGAUUAAUUAUACUUUAAGUAAGGAGUUCAACCAAUGGUAUUAAGUAGAGGAAAAAAGAAAAAAAAAGAUAAAAUGAAAUAAUAAACUUCCUCAACAGUCAACACAAGGGCUGUUAAUUGCUUCUUGUAGUAUCUGUUCCACUUCUACAGGUUACCUUAUAGGUGCUAUGUUAUCACAGAUCAGGGAGAACAUAUGGUAUUUAUCCCUUUGGGACUGGCUUAUUUCACUAAGUAUGAUGUUUUCCAGAUUUAUCCAUUUAGUUGCAAAUGACCAGAUUUCAUUUUUUUAACUGCUGUGUAGUAUUCCAUAGAGUACAUAUCCCAUAAUUUCUUUAUGCAUUGAUAGGCAUUUAGGUUGAUUCCAUGUCUUGGCUAUUGUGAAUUGAACUGUAAUAUGGAGGUGCAGAUAACUAUUUUAUUUGCUGAUUUCAUUUCCUUUGAGUAAAUUCUGAGGAGUGGGAUGGCUGGGUCAUGUGGUAGGGCUAUAUUCAGAUUUCUGAGGUAUCUCUAAAUUGUCUUCCAUAGUGGCUUUACAGGUUUGCAUUCUCUCAAUAGUGGAUUAGUGUCCCUUUUUCCCCACAUCCUCACCAGCAUUUGUUGUUUGUUGAUUUCUGUAUGUAAACCAUUCUAACUGGGGUGAGGUGAAAGCUCAUCAUGGUUUUGAUUUGCAUCUCCCUAAUGGGUAGUGAUCCUGAGCAUUUUUUCAUGUGUCUGUAGGCCAUUUGGAUUUGUUGUUUUGAGAAAUGUAUGUUUAAGUUCUUUGCCAAGUUCUUGACUGGAUUGUUUGCUUUGCUAUUGUUGAGCUUUUUGAUCACUUUAUAUAUUCUGGUUAUUAAUCCUUUAUCAGUUGCAUGGUUUGCAAAAAUUUCUCCCUUUCUGUUGGUUGCCUCUUUUUUUUAACUUUUAUUUAAUGAAUAUAAAUUUCCAAAGUACAGCUUAUGGAUUACAAUGGCUUCCCCCCCAUAACGUCCCUCCCACCCGCAACCCUCCCCUUUCCCGCUCCCUCUCCCCUUCCAUUCACAUCAAGAUUCAUUUUCAAUUCUCUUUAUAUACAGAUCAGUUUAGCAUAUAUUAAGUAAAUAUUUCAACAGUUUGCACCCACAUAGAAACACAAAGUGAAAAAUACUGUUUGAGUACUAGUUAUAGCAUUAAAUCUCAAUGUAGAGCACAUUAAGGACAGAGAUCCUACAUGAGGAAUAAAUGCACAGUGACUCCUGUUGUUGACUUAAUAAAUUGACACUCUUGUGUAUGGCAUCAGUAAUCACCCUAGGCUCUUGUCAUGAGCUUCCAAGGCUAUGGAAGCCCCCUGAAUUCACCGACUCUGAUCAUAUUUAGACAAGGCCAUGGUCAAAGUGGAAGUUCUCUCCUCCCUUCAGAGAAAGGUACCUCCUUCUUUGAUGACCUGUUCUUUCCACUGGAAUCUCACUCGCUGAGAUCUUUCAUUUAGGUCAUUUUUUUUUUUCCAGAGUGUCUUGGCUUUCCAUGCCUGCAAUAGUCUCAUGGGCUUUUCAGCCAGAUCCACAUGCCUUAAGGGCUGAUUCUGAGGUCAGAGUACUGUUUAGGACAUCUGCCAUUCUAUGAGUCUGCUGUGUAUCCUGCUUCCCAUGUUGGAUCGUUCUCUCCCCUUUUUUAUUCUAUCAGUUAGUAUUUGCAGACAUUAGUCUUGUUUAUGUGCUUCCUUUGGCUCUUAUUCCUAUCAUUAUGAUCAAUUGUGAACAGAAAUUGAUCACUUGGAUUAGUGAGAUGGCAUUGGUACAUGCCACCUUGAUGGGAUUGAAUUGGAAUCCCCUGGUCUGUUUCUAACUCUACCAUUUGAGGUAAGUCAGCUUGAGCAUGUCCCGAAUUGCACAUCUCUUCCCUCUCUUAUUCCCACUCUUAUAUUUAACAGCGAUCACUUUUCAGUUAAGUUUCAACACUUAAGAAUAACUGUGUAUUAAUUACAGUAUUCAACCAAAAGUAUUAAGUAUAACUAACAAAAAAAUACUAAGAGGGAUAACGUAUUAAGUUGUUCAUCAACAGUGAGGAGAAGGGCUGAUCAAGUCACCGUUUCUCAUAGUAUUCAUUUCACUUUAACAGGUUUCCUUUUUGGUGCUUAGUUAGUUGUCACUGAUUAGGGAGAACAUAUGAUAUUUGCUCUUGUCUUUACUGUUGAUGUACAAUGUAAUACUUUAUCCAUUUUAGUAUUUUUUUUUUGUUCUAGUACUAUUGGUUGAACUCUGUAAUUAACACACAGUUAUUCUUAGGUGUUUAAAUUUUAACUGAAAAGUGAUCCCUGUUAAGAAUUUGGAAAACAUUAUGCUGAGAAAUAAGCCAGUCUCAAAGGGACAAAUAUCAUAUGUUCUCCCUGAUCGGUGACAACUAACCAAGCCUCUUUCUUGACUGUUUCUUUUGCAGUACAGAAGCUUUCCAAUUUGAUGUAAUCCCAUUUGUUAAUCUUGUUUUUUUUUUUGUUUUUUUUUUUAGGGGUUCAGCAAUAUUUCAUUUCUUUUUUUUUAACUUUUAUUUAAUGAAUAUAAAUUUCCAAAGUACGAUUUAUGGAUUACAAUGGCUUCCCCCACAUACCGUCCCUCCCACCCACUACCCUCCCCUCUCCCACUCCCUCUCCCCCUCCAUUCACAUCAAGAUUGAUUUACGAUUAUCUUAAUAUACAGAAGAUCAGCUUAGUAUACAUUAAGUAAGGAUUUCAACAGUUUGCUCCCACACAGAAACAUAAAGUGAAAAAUAAUAGAUGAUUUUUUUUAAAUGAUGAUGAAAUCAGAUCAGACCUAUUGUCAUGUUUAAUCCCAGUGAG